UAUGUGAUCGUCUCUCGCAUAUCAAUAAGCGGAGGAAAAGAAACUAACAAGGAUUCCCCUAGUAACGGCGAGUGAAGCGGGAAGAGCUCAAAUUUGAAAUCUUAAAGGGUUUCCCUUUACGAAUUGUAGUUUAAAGAAGUGUUUUCUGUUGAGGUUUUGGUAAAAGUUCUUUGGAAUAGGACAUCAUAGAGGGGUGAGAAUCCCGUAUUUGACCUUUACUUUCAACUUUGUGAUACACUUUCAAAGAGUCGGAUUGUUUGGGAAUGCAGUCCAAAAUGGGUGGUAAAUUUCAUCUAAAGCUAAAUAUUGGCGAGAGACCGAUAGCGAACAAGUACCGUGAGGGAAAGAUGAAAAGAACUUUGAAAAGAGAGUUAAACAGUACGUGAAAUUGUCAAAAGGGAAGCGUUUGACACCAGUGUUGUUUUUCUGAAAAUCAAUUAAAGAACUGUUUAUGCUAAGUUGUUUAGACUUUAUCAGCUAUCUGUUUAGUUUUGAGCUUUUCUUUAAUGCACUUUUCAGUUAACAAGUCAACAUCAAUUUCUUUUGCUGUAAAAAAGCUUGAGGAAGGUGGCUUGAGAUUCGUCUUAAGUGUUUAUAGCCUCUUGCCUAUGCAGUCGGAGAGAUUGAGGUCUGCAGCGUAGAUCCUUCGGGGCUAAAUGCAUUUGUGCUAAGUUAUAGCAUUUUAUAGACAACUUGUUGACUAUGAUUUGUCUUGUAGCUUACUCGCUUAUGUUAUUUUACCUACGCUUAGGAUGUUGAAGACUCUACAGAGAUA
rnacentral:rRNA from 1 species